rnacentral:rRNA from 1 species
UACGUAGGGACCAAGCGUUGUUCGGAUUUACUGGGCGUAAAGGGCGCGUAGGCGGCGCGGUAAGUCACUUGUGAAAUCUCUGAGCUUAACUCAGAACGGCCAAGUGAUACUGCAGUGCUAGAGUGCGGAAGGGGCAAUCGGAAUUCUUGGUGUAGCGGUGAAAUGCGCAGAUAUCAGGAGGAACACCGGUGGCGAAGGCGGAUCUCUGGGCCUUACCUGACGCUCAUGCACGAAAGCGUGGGGAGCAAACAGG